rnacentral:rRNA from 1 species
AGUGAACGCUGGCGGCAGGCUUAACACAUGCAAGUCGAACGGCAGCACAGUAAGAGGCUGCCAUUACGGGUGGCGAGUGGCGGGCGGGGGAGGAAUACACCUGAAUAAACUUUUUAUUGGGGGAGAAUGAAGUGAAGAUUACGCUAAUACCGCAUACGACCUACGAGUGAAAGCAGGGGAUCUUCGGACAUUGUGCGAUGGAUUGAGACGGUGUCGGAUUAGCUAGUUGGCGGGGUAAAGUCACACCAAGGCGACGAUACGUAGCUGGUCGGAGAGGAUGGUCAGCCACACAGAAUGUGAGACACGGUCCGGACUCCCACGGGAGGGAGCAAUGGGGGAUGUAGGACAAUGGGCGCAAGCCUGAUCCAGCCAUACCACGUGGGUGAAGAAGGCCUGCGGGUUGUAAAGCCCUUUUGUUGGGAAAGAAAAGCAGCAGGUUAACACCCCGCUGUUCUGACGGGACCCAAAGAAUAAACACCGGCUAACUUCGC